CAGGUUUGAGGCCAGUGUGGGCCAGUUGAUUUUCCUUGUUCUAAUCCUCACCCAGCCUUCUUCACGACAUGACAAAGUGGAACAGAUUAGCCCUGAGCUAACAUCUGCCACAAAUCCUCCUCUUUUUGCUGAGGAAGACUGGCCUCGAGCUAACAUCUAUGCCCAUCUUCUCUACUUUAUAUGCAAGACACCUACCACAGCAAGGCUUGCCGAGCAGUGCCAUGUCCGCACCCAGCAUCCGAACCGGCGAACCCUGGGCCGGCGAAGCAGAACGUGCGAACUUAACCUCUGCACCACAGGGCCAGCCUCUCCCCUACCAUCUUUUAAUUCACUUAGUUUAACAGUCACACCACCAGAGCCAGCCCUGAUGGCCUAGUGGUUAAAGUUCAGCGCACUCCACUUCAGCAGCCCAGAGUUUGCUUCCCUGGUUCAGAACCGCACCACUCCUCUAUCAAUAACCAUGCUGUGGUAGCAGCUCACGUAGAAGAACCAGAAGAACUUACAACUAUAUACAACUAUUUACUAGAGCUUUAUGGGGG
rnacentral:lncRNA from 1 species